rnacentral:rRNA from 1 species
GGCGGCAGGCCUAACACAUGCAAGUCGAGCGGUAGCACAGAGAGCUUGCUCUCGGGUGACGAGCGGCGGACGGGUGAGUAAUGUCUGGGAAACUGCCUGAUGGAGGGGGAUAACUACUGGAAACGGUAGCUAAUACCGCAUAACGUCGCAAGACCAAAGUGGGGGACCUUCGGGCCUCAUGCCAUCAGAUGUGCCCAGAUGGGAUUAGCUAGUAGGUGGGGUAACGGCUCACCUAGGCGACGAUCCCUAGCUGGUCUGAGAGGAUGACCAGCCACACUGGAACUGAGACACGGUCCAGACUCCUACGGGAGGCAGCAGUGGGGAAUAUUGCACAAUGGGCGCAAGCCUGAUGCAGCCAUGCCGCGUGUGUGAAGAAGGCCUUCGGGUUGUAAAGCACUUUCAGCGGGGAGGAAGGCGUUAAGGUUAAUAACCUUGGCGAUUGACGUUACCCGCAGAAGAAGCACCGGCUAACUCCGUGCCAGCAGCCGCGGUAAUACGGAGGGUGCAAGCGUUAAUCGGAAUUACUGGGCGUAAAGCGCACGCAGGCGGUCUGUCAAGUCGGAUGUGAAAUCCCCGGGCUCAACCUGGGAACUGCAUUCGAAACUGGCAGGCUAGAGUCUUGUAGAGGGGGGUAGAAUUCCAGGUGUAGCGGUGAAAUGCGUAGAG